UGGCGGCCGGAGCAAAGACGUGAAAUCGACAAUCUAGAUUAUAUUGUCUUCGUACCUGGGUGCGCCAUCCUGUUGAGGAUACGUGUUCUGGUAGCUGGUGAACGAGUCCUCGGCCUGUAGGUUUCCGCUCAGGAACGGGUUCGUCGGAUUGGUCGAUUGAUUGAACUGGGUCUUUGGUGAUUGGUGUUUAUUGUGUCUAUUACAUAUGUAAGUAAAUGUUAUCAAAUAUUGUACCGUUAACUUAGUGUCCCAAAACACUAGUCUAAUUGAGACUAGUGUUUUGGGUAUAUAUAUUAAUUUAUUUAUCUAGAUAUAUAUUUAUUAAUUUAAUAUGUUUAACUAAUAUGG